rnacentral:rRNA from 1 species
UACGAAGGGGGCUAGCGUUGCUCGGAAUCACUGGGCGUAAAGGGUGCGUAGGCGGGUCUUUAAGUCAGGGGUGAAAUCCUGGAGCUCAACUCCAGAACUGCCUUUGAUACUGAAGAUCUUGAGUUCGGGAGAGGUGAGUGGAACUGCGAGUGUAGAGGUGAAAUUCGUAAAUAUUCGCAAGAACACCAGUGGCGAAGGCGGCUCACUGGCCCGAUACUGACGCUGAGGCGCGAAAGCGUGGGGAGCAAACAGG